rnacentral:rRNA from 1 species
ACCGGCGGCUCGAGUGGUGGCCACUAUUACUGGGCUUAAAGCGUUCGUAGCUGGCUUGUUAAGUCUCUGGGGAAAUCUUCCGGCUCAACCGGAAGGCGUCUCAGGGAUACUGGCAGGCUAGGGACCGGAAGGGGGGGGGGGUACGCCAGGGGUAAGGGGUAAAACCCGUAAUCCCUGGGGGGACACCCUUGGCCGAGGGGGCCCACCAAGACGGGUCCCGCAGUUGAGAAAGGAAACUUGGGGAGCAAACCG